GAUGAACGCUGGCGGCGUGCCUAAUACAUGCAAGUCGAGCGAACAGACGAGGAGCUUGCUCCUCUGACGUUAGCGGCGGACGGGUGAGUAACACGUGGAUAACCUACCUAUAAGACUGGGAUAACUUCGGGAAACCGGAGCUAAUACCGGAUAAUAUAUUGAACCGCAUGGUUCAAUAGUGAAAGACGGUUUUGCUGUCACUUAUAGAUGGAUCCGCGCCGCAUUAGAUAGUUGGUAAGGUAACGGCUUACCAAGGCGACGAUGCGUAGCCGACCUGAGAGGGUGAUCGGCCACACUGGAGCUGAGACACGGUCAAGACUCCUACGGGAGGCAGCAGUAGGGAAUCUUCCGCAAUGGGCGAAAGCAUGACGGAGCAACGCCGCGUGAGUGAUGAAGGUCUUCGGAUCGUAAAACUCUGUUAUUAGGGAAGAACAAAUGUGUAAGUAACUAUGCACGUCUUGACGGUACCUAAUCAGAAAGCCACGGCUAACUACGUG
rnacentral:rRNA from 1 species